GUCUGAAAUUCUCAGCAGCCAGGGCUCAAACAGCUCAGCACCCUGAGCAUUCUCAUGCACAGACAAAUCCUGCUGAUGGCUAAUUGUCCCUGCUAUAAGUAGGGAAAAACCAUGGAUAUCUGCAGUAUUUCUCAUUUAAGCUGCUCCAGGCCCUGAAACCCUCCUCCUUAGCACUCCUGAUUUAAACCCAGUUAUUUAAUUAAAGCCUGUUUAGAUAUUGGUUUUAAAUCAUAUAAAAUGCCAGACUUUGGCACAGCCAGGUUAUGUCCCAACUGAGGCCAUCCUGAUCUCUUUUCCUGGGUUUCCAGCCCCUGUUUGCUCAGCAUGAGGCAAUGCCAGGGUAUUUAAUUCUCUGAUAAAAAGCCUGCCACAGGGAGGCCCUUGCAGCUGCCACCACCACCAGCAUCCCUUGCCAGGUGAUUUGAGGAGGACUGGAGAUGUGCUUCAUCAUGACCAUGAUGGUCAAAGGAGAUGUAUUUCAAAAUUACUUUCCAGCUUCUACAGAGCGUCGUGCACUGGAUGAACACCACAAAUGAUGCAGGACAGGGCUGCAGGAUGCUCAGGAAACCAGAAGAAUUGAACAGACUUCAGAUUUCUCCCAAAGCAGGAUUCUAAGAUGGGAAAAACAGCAAUAAUGUACAUUUCUAAUGAAAUAAAGACACAUGAGAUACAAA